UACCAACUACUUUAUGACGCAGUGCCUC
rnacentral:sRNA from 1 species